rnacentral:rRNA from 1 species
AUCUGCCUUUGAGCGGGGGACAACAUUUGGAAACGAAUGCUAAUACCGCAUAACAACUUUAAACACAAGUUUUAAGUUUGAAAGAUGCAAUUGCAUCACUCAAAGAUGAUCCCGCGUUGUAUUAGCUAGUUGGUGAGGUAAAGGCUCACCAAGGCGAUGAUACAUAGCCGACCUGAGAGGGUGAUCGGCCACAUUGGGACUGAGACACGGCCCAAACUCCUACGGGAGGCAGCAGUAGGGAAUCUUCGGCAAUGGACGAAAGUCUGACCGAGCAACGCCGCGUGAGUGAAGAAGGUUUUCGGAUCGUAAAACUCUGUUGGUAGAGAAGAACGUUGGUGAGAGUGGAAAGCUCAUCAAGUGACGGUAACUACCCAGAAAGGGACGGCUAACUACGUGCCAGCAGCCGCGGUAAUACGUAGGUCCCGAGCGUUGUCCGGAUUUAUUGGGCGUAAAGCGAGCGCAGGUGGUUUAUUAAGUCUGGUGUAAAAGGCAGUGGCUCAACCAUUGUAUGCAUUGGAAACUGGUAGACUUGAGUGCAGGAGAGGAGAGUGGAAUUCCAUGUGUAGCGGUGAAAUGCGUAGAUAUAUGGAGGAACACCGGUGGCGAAAGCGGCUCUCUGGCCUGUAACUGACACUGAGGCUCGAAAGCGUGGGGAGCAAACAGGAUUAGAUACCCUGGUAGUCCACGCCGUAAACGAUGAGUGCUAGAUGUAGGGAGCUAUA